GUACACGCUGUGACUAGCAUAUCAAUAAGCGGAGGAAAAGAAACUAACAAGGAUUCCCCUAGUAACGGCGAGUGAAGCGGGAAGAGCUCAAAUUUGAAAUCUUAAAGGGUUUCCCUUUACGAAUUGUAGUUUAAAGAAGUGUUUUCUGUUGAGGUUUUGGUAAAAGUUCUUUGGAAUAGGACAUCAUAGAGGGUGAGAAUCCCGUAUUUGACCUUUACUUUCAACUUUGUGAUACACUUCCAAAGAGUCGGAUUGUUUGGGAAUGCAGUCCAAAAUGGGUGGUAAAUUUCAUCUAAAGCUAAAUAUUGGCGAGAGACCGAUAGCGAACAAGUACCGUGAGGGAAAGAUGAAAAGAACUUUGAAAAGAGAGUUAAACAGUACGUGAAAUUGUCAAAAGGGAAGCGUUUGACACCAGUGUUGUUUUUCUGAAAAUCAAUUAAAGAACUGUUUAUGCUAAGUUGUUUAAACUUUAUCAGCUAACUGUUUAGUUUUGAGCUUUUCUUUAAUGCACUUUUCAGUUAACAAGUCAACAUCAAUUUCUUUUGCUGUAAAAAAGCUUGAGGAAGGUGGCUUGAGAUUCGUCUUAAGUGUUUAUAGCCUCUUGCCUAUGCAGUCGGAGAGAUUGAGGUCUGCAGCGUAGAUCCUUCGGGGCUAAAUGCAUUUGUGCUAAGUUAUAGCAUUUUAUAGACAACUUGUUGACUAUGAUUUGUCUUGUAGCUUACUCGCUUAUGUUAUUUUACCUACGCUUAGGAUGUUGAGUCGUAGAGCACGCA
rnacentral:rRNA from 1 species